rnacentral:rRNA from 1 species
GACGAACGCUGGCGGCGUGCUUAACACAUGCAAGUCGAACGGUGAAGGGACCGGUUUUUGCUGGUUCUGGAUGAGUGGCGAACGGGUGAGUAACACGUGAGCAACCUGCCCCCCUCUUCUGGAUAACCGCAUGAAAGUGUGGCAAAUACGCGGUAUUCUGCGCCUGCUGCAUGGGGGGCGAGGGUUAGAUAUUGUCUCGGUGGGGGACGGGCUGGCGGCCUAUCAGCUUGUUGGUGGGGUGAUGGCCUAGCGAGGCGAUGAGGGGUAGCCGGCGUGGGAGGGUGGGCGGUCACACUGGGGCUGAGCCGCGGCCCAGACUCCGGCGGGAGGCAGCAGGGGAGAAUAUUGCACAGUGGGCGCAAUCCUGAUGCAGCGCCGCCGCGUGAGAGAUGGAGGCCUUCGGGUUGUAAACCUCUUUCGCCAGUGAAGCAGGCCUGUCCAUUUUGUGGGUGGGUUGACGGUAGCUGGAUAAGAAGCGCCGGCUAACUACGUG